rnacentral:rRNA from 1 species
AACGAACGCUGGCGGCAUGCCUAACACAUGCAAGUCGAACGAGACCUUCGGGUCUAGUGGCGCACGGGUGCGUAACGCGUGGGAACGUGCCCUUAGGCUCGGAAUAAUUCCCUGAAAGGGGUGCUAAUACCGGAUAAUGUCUGCGGAUCAAAGAUUGAUCGCCUUUGGUUGGGCCCGCGAUGGUUUCGCUGGGUGGUAGUGUAAAAGCCUACCAAGGCGAGGAUACAUAGCUGGUUAGAGAGGAUGGGCCGCCACACUGGGGCUGGGACACGGCCCAGACUCCUGCAGGAUGGAGCAGAGGGGAAUAUUGGACAAUGGGGGAAGGCCUGAAGCCGCAAGGCCGGGAGAGUGAUGAAGGCCUGAGAGAUGUGAAGCUCUUUUACCCGGGAUGAUAAUGACGGUACCGAGAGAAUAAGCUCCGGCUAACUCCGUG